GAAGAAAACUUCAACCCCAUUUGAGCCUCUCUGUGUGUGCAUGCGAGUCCAGAAGAGAUGCCAACUCCAUUCGGUAUACCCCAAAGUUUUCUGGCCACCCAGAGCCUACGCCAGAUCUGGAAGAAUGCCAGAUGGCGACGGAAUCGCAAUACCGUAUUGUAAGAUGGCCAAGGAUACCUUUCUCGGUCUCCAUAAAUUGGACACAAUGGACCUGAGUAGGUUUUGCUGCUUGAAUUUCCUCCAAGCAGCAUGGGGUGAAGAGUCUAGUGCUAGUUAUUUGGGACCAAUGGAAAGCCCCUAAAUACCAAAUUUCAGAAAAGCAGGAAAUGGAAGAGCUUCUAGUUCAAGUCAUGUUGUUACUACACUUGCUAUAUAGAUAGAAGAUGUGGUCUUUAUUUAGGCCAUAAAAUAAAGCAAUUAAGGAUCAAAUUAUUGGUUGUGUC
rnacentral:lncRNA from 1 species